ACUAAUUUGGCAGAGAAGUGCAGUGGAUUUAGAAUCUAUAAAUAUAGAUUGGCUCUAUAAGUAGUA
rnacentral:tRNA from 1 species